GAUGAACGCUGGCGGCGUGCCUAAUACAUGCAAGUCGAGCGAACAGACGAGGAGCUUUCUCCUCUGACGUUAGCGGCGGACGGGUGAGUAACACGUGGAUAACCUACCUAUAAGACUGGGAUGACUUCGGGAAACCGGAGCUAAUACCAGAUAAUAUAUUGAACCGCAUGGUUCAAUAGUGAAAGACGGUUUUGCUGUCACUUAUAGAUGGAUCCGCGCCGCAUUAGCUAGUUGGUAAGGUAACGGCUUACCAAGGCAACGAUGCGUAGCCGACCUGAGAGGGUGAUCGGCCACACUGGAACUGAGACACGGUCCAGACUCCUACGGGAGGCAGCAGUAGGGAAUCUUCCGCAAUGGGCGAAAGCCUGACGGAGCAACGCCGCGUGAGUGAUGAAGGUCUUCGGAUCGUAAAACUCUGUUAUUAGGGAAGAACAAAUGUGUAAGUAACUAUGCACGUCUUGACGGUACCUAAUCAGAAAGCCACGGCUAACUACGUG
rnacentral:rRNA from 1 species